rnacentral:sRNA from 1 species
CUAGACAUAUGGAUUUGGUUAGAAUGAUCAUGGCAAUAGACUAGAGAAUGUUGGGAGUUCCUUUGUUUUCAAACCUCUUCCACGGGUUCGGCUUUUGUGUUUUGCUUGAGGGCAAGCAAAAGCUAAGUCUAGGGGAGUUGAUAUAACCCUAUUUUUAUCGGCUUUAGCUAUGAUUUAGGUAUAGGUCUUAGAGUCCUUUUGUUAUUUCUAGAGUCUUUUCUAGUCUUUUUCAGGUCUUUACAUGUUUGGGAUUCAUUUGGAGAUAAUGAAGCAUUCUAGA